GCAGUAGAACUUAAGGAAGAAAAGAUGGGAUGAGUUGAUGCAUUGGGUUUGCACGGCAAGGUUUUCGUAGCAAGGGGGUUACAGGGGUGGCUUCUGUGAGAAGCUGCUAGAAGCUUCCCCCAUGUCCGACAGAGCCAAUGCCAGCCGGCUCCAAGACGGACCC